UGGGGAAUAUUGGACAAUGGGCGAAAGCCUGAUCCAGCCAUGCCGCGUGUGUGAAGAAGGCCUUAUGGUUGUAAAGCACUUUAAGUGGGGAGGAAAAGCUUAUGGAUAACACCCAUAGGUUCUGACGUUACCCACAGAAUAAGCACCGGCUAACUCUGUGCCAGCAGCCGCGGUAAUACAGAGGGUGCAAGCGUUAAUCGGAAUUACUGGGCGUAAAGCGAGCGUAGGUGGUUUAUUAAGUCAGAUGUGAAAUCCCUGGGCUUAACCUAGGAACUGCAUCUGAUACUGAUAAACUAGAGUAGGUGAGAGGGAAGUAGAAUUCCAGGUGUAGCGGUGAAAUGCGUAGAGAUCUGGAGGAAUACCGAUGGCGAAGGCAGCUUUCUGGCAUCAUACUGACACUGAGGUUCGAAAGCGUGGGUAGCAAACAGGAUUAGAUACCCUGGUAGUCCACGCCGUAAACGAUGUCUACCAGUCGUUGGGUCUUUUAAAGGCUUAGUGACGCAGUUAACGCGAUAAGUAGACCGCCUGGGGAGUACGGCCGCAAGGUUA
rnacentral:rRNA from 1 species